UCAGAAACUCAAAGGAAGUUGACGGGGCCCGCACAAGCGGUGGAGUAUGUGGUUUAAUUCGAUGCAACGCGAAGAACCUUACCUAGGUUUGACACCCGGAAAACCUUCCCGAAAAGGAAGGGUGCCCUUCGGGGAAUUCCGAGACAGGUGCUGCAUGGCUGUCGUCAGCUCGUGCCGUGAGGUGUUGGGUUAAGUCCCGCAACGAGCGCAACCCUAUUGCCAGUUGCUACCAGGUAAUGCUGGGCACUCUGGUGAGACUGCCCCGGUUAACGGGGAGGAAGGUGGGGACGACGUCAAGUCAUCAUGGCCCUUACGCCUAGGGCUACACGCGUACUACAAUGGCGCAUACAAAGGGCAGCGAUACCGCGAGGUGGAGCCAAUCCCAAAAAGUGCGUCCCAGUCCGGAUUGCAGUCUGCAACUCGACUGCAUGAAGUUGGAAUCGCUAGUAAUUCGAGAUCAGCAUGCUCGGGUGAAUGCGUUCCCGGGCCUU
rnacentral:rRNA from 1 species